AUGUACACACACACAAAUUCACAUAUGGAUUUGAUUUGUGUGUAUAGCAGACUCUAUCGAAGACUUGAAUAAAUAAGAAAGAUACAUAACUUAAAAUUGGGUGUUAGAUGUCCUGAUCCUAGAAUGUUCAUUAGUUCUUUCAUCAACUGGGAGUAUUGCUUCUCAACCUUUUUCUCCCCUCUCUGCUUUCUUUAGUGGCCUCUCCUCUCAACUGAGCUCCUCCUGGCCACCUUUGCAUACCUUUGAUUAUUCAUGAAGGAUUGUCACUGAAAAGGACCCAUCCCCCUCGGGAGGCAGAUGUGCUUAUAACUUGCACCUCCCCUCCCUACAUAUUCCAAACCAGGAGGAUUUCUUAACCUUAACCCAUUUGUUGAAGAAGGGCAAGAAAAUGUGCUCCAAUCACAGGAAGAUGCUUCCUCCCAAGCUGAGCGAGACAAGGAGAGUGUUCAUCAUGGUGUCCAGUUUCCCUGACCACAGGCUGGCUAGAUUACUCCACCCACGAAGGUCAUGAUUGGAUGAAAGGUGAGAUUUAGAGAUUCUUCUCUAAAUUUUGAGAUAAGCUUCUUAUUAAUGAAAGGUUCUUUCUCUUGCCUGAGGUUGGGAGCUGUAAUAAUAGUAUAAACCACACCCAUUUGUGGCCAUUGUCUUCAGCACCUGGAGAAGCCUUCUUUAUUCUGGGAGAAUGAAGCCAACAAGCAAAUAAAAGCAGACUCAAGAGAUAGAGAAAGGAUAUAAUUACAUUGGUUGAAUGCUUGUAUUUUCUUGGAACUGGACUUCUCAACUGUACAACCUGAUGCCAUCAUGGAAGCUGAAAAUCCUCACGCCUUUCAUUCUGUCUAGGGCUGACUGGAACCAGGGCUGGCUGAUCAGCUGUCAGGCUGCUUUUUAG
rnacentral:lncRNA from 1 species